rnacentral:rRNA from 1 species
CAAUAGCGUAUAUUAAAGUUGUUGCGGUAAAAAAGCUCGUAGUUGGAUUUCUGUUGAGAGCGACCGGUCCAUACCAUGUAUGCGUAUCUGGCUUGCUCUCGGCAUCCUCUCGAUAGACGUUACUGCGCUUGAUUGCGUGGUGCGGAUCUCGGGACUUUUACUUUGAGGAAAUUAGAGUGUUCACGGCAGGCUUUCGCCAGUAUACAUUAGCAUGGAAUAAUACUAUAGGAUCUUGGUUCUAUUUUGUUGGUUUCUAGAAUUGAGAUAAUGAUUAAUAGGGACAAUUGGGGGCAUUCGUAUCAACACGUCAGAGGUGGAAUUCUUGGAUUGUGUUGCGACGAACUACUGCGAAAGCAUUUGCCAAGGAUGUUUUCAUUGA